UACGAAGGUGGCAAGCGUUGUUCGGAUUCACUGGGCGUACAGGGUGUGUAGGCGGUUUGGUAAGCCUUCUGUUAAAGCUUCGGGCCCAACUCGGAAAGCGCAGAGGGUACUGCCAGGCUAGAGGACGGGAGAGGAGCGCGGAAUUCCCGGUGUAGCGGUGAAAUGCGUAGAGAUCGGGAGGAAGGCCGGUGGCGAAGGCGGCGCUCUGGAACGUUACUGACGCUGAGACACGAAAGCGUGGGGAGCAAACAGG
rnacentral:rRNA from 1 species